GAUGAACGCUAGCUACAGGCUUAACACAUGCAAGUCGAGGGGAAACGGCAUCGAAAGCUUGCUUUUGAUGGGCGUCGACCGGCGCACGGGUGAGUAACGCGUAUCCAACCUGCCCAUCACUUGGGAAUAACCUUGCGAAAGUAAGACUAAUGCCCAAUGACAUCCCACGAAGGCAUCCGAAUGGGAUUAAAGAUUUACCGGUGAUGGAUGGGGAUGCGUCUGAUUAGCUUGUUGGCGGGGUGACGGCCCACCAAGGCAACGAUCAGUAGGGGUUCUGAGAGGAAGGUCCCCCACAUUGGAACUGAGACACGGUCCAAACUCCUACGGGAGGCAGCAGUGAGGAAUAUUGGUCAAUGGGCGAGAGCCUGAACCAGCCAAGUAGCGUGCAGGAUGACGGCCCUAUGGGUUGUAAACUGCUUUUAUAAGGGAAUAAAGUGGGUCACGUGUGACUUUUUGCAUGUACCUUAUGAAUAAGGACCGGCUAAUUCCGUG
rnacentral:rRNA from 1 species